GACGAACGCUGGCGGCGUGCUUAACACAUGCAAGUCGAACGGAAAGGCCCUGCUCUUGUGGGGUGCUCGAGUGGCGAACGGGUGAGUAACACGUGAGUAACCUGCCCUUGACUUUGGGAUAACUUCAGGAAACUGGGGCUAAUACCGGAUAGGAGCUCCUGCUGCAUGGCGGGGGUUGGAAAGUUUCGGCGGUUGGGGAUGGACUCGCGGCUUAUCAGCUUGUUGGUGGGGUAGUGGCUUACCAAGGCUUUGACGGGUAGCCGGCCUGAGAGGGUGACCGGCCACAUUGGGACUGAGAUACGGCCCAGACUCCUACGGGAGGCAGCAGUGGGGAAUAUUGCACAAUGGGCGGAAGCCUGAUGCAGCAACGCCGCGUGCGGGAUGACGGCCUUCGGGUUGUAAACCGCUUUCGCCUGUGACGAAGCGUGAGUGACGGUAAUGGGUAAAGAAGCACCGGCUAACUACGUG
rnacentral:rRNA from 1 species